UGAUGAUGUGUUUGAGAUGAGCAGCUAUAGUGGGUCAUCUCAAGCUCACUUCCUGUGACUCCCCACCCCCGGCGACCGGACCCCGCCCAUGCCUCUCCGCUGCUGGCCUCGACGGCUGCCUCCUCCUUCAGCUUCGUCCAGGCGAGUGGAUACCACGCGGCACUCGCGGAGGGCUAGGUGGCCCAGCGGGAUGCGCCAAGGGAGGUGGAGGGGCGGAUCUCGUCUCCACUGGAUCCGCUGCCGUGGCCGCCACCACCGGCAUUCGGUGGCUCUGCGUCGGCCUCCUCUCCGCCACCGACGCCGUCUGCCGCCAGUAAGCUCCCUCCCACAUCAGCUGUCUUCAACGUCCCUGACCAUGCCGGCAUCCCGCUGGCCGGGCUCACUACCGACGGACGGUUAUCUCCGGCUUCCUCCCCUGCAAGUGCACCACCCACGGCUUCGUCUACGACUCGCUGCUCGACAAGCGCAGGAUUAUUUUCCAACUGUCUUCGAUAAUUUCAGUGCUAAUGUCAUCGCCACUUCAACAGGUCUGCUUUUUUUUUUCAGUUGGCACACACUUGAACAUCCUUAUUUACCGUGGUGUUGAUGCCUUUCUGUUGGCUUUUUUUCGCUUAUCACCAAAGCUAGCUAUUAGAAUGUUUCUUAAAAGGCAAGUGACCAAGUUUUGCUUAUUUUUCGUUCUUCCCCUAAGCUACGCCCACUGAUGCUCUUCAUCUCAUACCAUUGCAUUAUAUUUUUUAUAAACCUCCUCUCCUAUUGCACCGUGCUUGUGCAAAAUGUCACAAUUCUCUGUAAUUGACCAUGAUGUAUUAUCAGCUUCCACCUUUUGCAAUUAUUUUAGUGCAGCACUUAAUUGAGUUGUGGACUGUUGUUACCGCAUGCCAUACAGUUGUGUUUCACCAUUGGAGUAAAUAGCUGCUGACAUUAACUUUCUGACUGAAGUAUCUGGAGAUCUUAAGUACAUGUGUCUUUGUUGUCAAUAAUUUCAGUUGCACUGUUAUUCAUGGUUGCCAUAUUCUUAUGAUAUUCCCAUACCACCUUUACACUACAAUCAAAAGUUGACUGCUUCACAUUUCUAGAUGAGGCUGUAGAAUUUUGAUUGUAAUCAUAUUUCUGGCCUGUCUUGAUUAGUUUGAAGCAAGUAGCAUGGCCUUCUUAAAUCUGAUGGCUGAUACAAAGUUGCAUUUAGCCUUUUUUAGUUUACUUGGAUGUCUCGGAUCUUCUCCCCUGUUAUACAUGAUCUCUGUAGUAUGAAAACUAUCUUUUUUAUUCGGUCCACUUGCUACACUGAGAAGUUCCGUUGAUGAUAUGGUCUCUUCCAUUGUGUUAAUAAAAAGAGUUAUGUUUGCAACUAUUAUGUUAUUAUUAUGUAGCAUAAUAUGCUUCCUUUGUGUUGUACACUACCUUGUAGAUGAUUGUUUUUAGUUACUGUUGUGGUUCCGUAUAUAGCUGCUACUCCUCUCGAGCUAAGGUAAACACACAGUCGACAUUGACUAUAGUAGUCAAAGUCCAAUGUUUGGUUCUCUUAUACGAUGUUGACAUAAUAUAUCAAACUUUCUUUGUAGUCAUAGUUGGAUUGUCUGAAUCUUGUAUACCAUAUGCAUAUACAAAGCUUUAUUUGUAGUUGAAGUUGGGUGUGUACAGUGUAGGGCCGAAAGAUACAGGGCUCAACAUAUUUUGGAUGUUUAUCUAUAUAGUGUGGGCUUUAGUUCAUCACUGAGAAUAACCUGAUGUCAUGUGUACUGUUAAUUUUAUUUAUUGACUUUUCCCCCAUUAACCCCUAUAUAAUUUAUUUUAUAAGCAAACAAAAUUAGUAUUGUGAAUUUUUCCAGAGGCAACCAUAUGGAUAUCAAUACGCAGUAACCAUGUAGAAUACAUGUGUCUUUUCUAUUUUCUAACUCGUGUGGCCUAUAUGUUGCUUAGAAAAGUAGUUCUUGGGUUGGUGGUUUUGAUGCAUUUCAAAUACUUGCCCAUGCAUAUGGUUAAUUCUUUUAUAUAUGUUUAUGCUCCCUAGCAAAAAUCUUAGUGAAUCAUGAUUUAGUUUAAAAAAUAAAGGUCAUUGCUUUCAUACACGUUUGAAAACGAAACUGACUUGUGUCCAAUUUUUUCAUUGCAGCAGGGGCACAGGAAGCAGCCGAACCUGAACCUGAAGAAAUUGCAGAUGUGUGCAUGCGGCAGGACCGCAGAAGCCUGUCUCCACGUUGACAGGCGUUCAGGGCUGGCGCGGGUGCCGGCUGGAGCAUGUCCGCGCGUUCAAGGAAGUUCAGUGUAGCCUCCCGUAGAGGCUAUGUUGGCGCUCUUGUGGGACGGCAGCGGGCGGCCCGGCCCCGGGAGUGCUACAGAGCGGGCGUGGGUGCCGGCGGGAGCCUGUCCGCGCGUUUAGGGACGUGCAGCGCGGCCUCCCAUGGAGGCUAUGGCAACGCUCUUGUGGGAUGGCAGUGGCAGCGCCGGGAGUGCUGCAGAGCGGGCGUGGGCGGGAGCCUGUCCCCGCGUUCAGGGACAUCCAGAGUUGUCUUCCAUGGAAGCUAUGCUGGAGCUCUCGUGGAACGACAGCGGGCGGCGCCGGGAGUGCUGCAGAGCGAGCGCGGGCGCCGGCGGGAGCCUAUCCCUGCGUUCAGGGGCGUCCAGUGCUGUCUUCCAUGGAGGCUAUGGUGGAGCUCUCGUGGAACGGCAACAGGCGGAGCCGGGAGUGUUGCAGAGUGGGCGUGGGCGCCCACAGGAGCCUGUCCCCGCAUUCAAGGGGCAUGCCCAGUGGCCUCCCCCUAGAGGCUAUGGCGGAGCUCUCGCGGGACGGCUGUGGGCGGGCGGGAGUGCCGCGGCAGCGAGCGGCGGUUCGCUUCUGGAUGUUGUCUGCCCCGUUAAACACGGAGAGGCUGUGGAGCGUUGGAUUUUCUGGUUGGAUGGCCAAGAUGGGUUGGAUCAGACCCUCUGGGUCUUUUAUUAGUAGUGGUGAUGGUGAUGAUAUUCAGGUGGGGAGAGAAUCCCCCCACCCCCGUGGUGAAAAUUUGAAAAAAAAAAACAGAUUAAUUAGUGAAUAAGAAGAGUAAGUUCAUUGCGCACUCACCAGGGAUCUAGCGAGAUGACAAGUGCAGAUACCAAAAUUAAUCUAGGCUGAUUUCCGGCGGCUCCAAACCCUUUGGAAGCAAAUCAUGUACGCAUGCAGCGAUUUAUAGUGCGACUCGAAGCAAAUGGUAUAUGUUGUUGGAUUA